rnacentral:rRNA from 1 species
ACGUACACUCCUACGGGAGGCAGCAGUGGGGAAUAUUGCACAAUGGGCGCAAGCCUGAUGCAGCCAUGCCGCGUGUAUGAAGAAGGCCUUCGGGUUGUAAAGUACUUUCAGCGGGGAGGAAGGCAAUACGGUUAAUAACCGUGUUGAUUGACGUUACCCGCAGAAGAAGCACCGGCUAACUCCGUGCCAGCAGCCGCGGUAAUACGGAGGGUGCAAGCGUUAAUCGGAAUUACUGGGCGUAAAGCGCACGCAGGCGGUCUGUCAAGUCGGAUGUGAAAUCCCCGGGCUCAACCUGGGAACUGCAUUCGAAACUGGCAGGCUUGAGUCUUGUAGAGGGGGGUAGAAUUCCAGGUGUAGCGGUGAAAUGCGUAGAGAUCUGGAGGAAUACCGGUGGCGAAGGCGGCCCCCUGGACAAAGACUGACGCUCAGGUGCGAAAGCGUGGGGAGCAAACAGGAUUAGAAACCCUAGUAGUCCCAUG